rnacentral:snoRNA from 1 species
AAUCCAUGGUGAGGACAUCUUCUAAUCAAAUCCUUAUACCUUUCCCAAAACUCAUUUAAUGAUUCAGAAUCAAAUUGCAUGAAAGAAGUGAUAUCAUUCUGCAUCU